rnacentral:rRNA from 1 species
UGAUUAAAUUUAAUGGCCGCAGUAUAUUAACUGUGCAAAGGUAGCAUAAUCAUUAGUUUUUUAAUAGAAAGCUUGUAUGAAAGGUUUAAUGAGAAAAUUUCUGUCUCUAGAAAAAUUUAUUAGAACUUUAUUUUUAAGUGAAAAAGCUUAAAUUUUUAUAGAAGACGAGAAGACCCUAUAGAGUUUUAUAUUUAUAUUAAUGGUUAAUAUUUUAAGAAUUUAAAAUAUUAUUUUUAGUGUAAUUAUUUAGUUGGGGUGACGGAAAAAUUAGUUUAACUUUUUUUUUAUAACAACAUUUAUUUAUGAAUUUAUGAUCCUUAAUUUAAGAUUAAAAGAAAAAAUUACCUUAGGGAUAACAGCGUAAUUUUUUUUARAGUUCUUAUCGAAUGAAAAGAUUGSGACCUCGAUGUUGGAUUAAAAUUUAUUAUUGGKGAARAAGCUAAUAUAUUAGGKCUGUUCGACCUUUAAAAUUUUACAUGAUCUGAGUUUAAACCGGUGKGAG